AGAAGUUAAAAGAAGUAAAACAAAAAGAAGAACCGACUAGGCUAUGAAGGAAUCCGAUUGCAGAAGAAAAAAGGUAAAAAAAUAAAUGUUAGGUUCGGCCAAGAAGGGAGAAAGUGAAUGGAAAAGAUGCAGAAAAAGAAUGACCCGAAUGGUCAGUUUUAGUUUCGGCACUAGAGAAAAAGGAAAAAAAAUGCAAAACCUCCAAAUUCUAGAGAGAAAAUUCGGCACCUACACACUUACUAAUUGCCUAAAUGCAUAUUCCAAAGUCCCAUCUUAACGGAUUUGGCAACAACCUUAUACAACUCAAACUCCCCUUUUUCCUCCUAAAAUCACUCCUCCAAUCCUGUCCUUGAAAUCUUCCAUGAUCCACUCCUUAAAUCACUCAUUUA
rnacentral:lncRNA from 1 species